rnacentral:rRNA from 1 species
UGGGGAAUCUUGGACAAUGGGGGCAACCCUGAUCCAGCCAUGCCGCGUGAGUGAUGAAGGCCUUAGGGUCGUAAAGCUCUUUCGCCUGUGAAGAUAAUGACGGUAGCAGGUAAAGAAACCCCGGCUAACUCCGUGCCAGCAGCCGCGGUAAUACGGAGGGGACUAGCGUUGUUCGGAAUUACUGGGCGUAAAGAGUUCGUAGGCGGACUAGCAAGUUAGAGGUGAAAUCCCAGGGCUCAACCUUGGAACUGCCUUUAAAACUGCUAGUCUAGAGACCGGAAGAGGUUAGGGGAAUACCUAGUGUAGAGGUGAAAUUCGUAGAUAUUAGGUGGAACACCAGUGGCGAAGGCGCCUAACUGGUCCGGUACUGACGCUGAGGAACGAAAGCGUGGGGAGCAAACAGGAUUAGAUA